AAAUAUUUUAUUCAAGAACAUGAGGAAAUUACACUAUAAGAAAAGAUUAAAGUAAAUCUAUUCUACCUAAGAAACCUCAUUAUGAUUGGCGGCUACAUCUUGCCUUACUCUUAACCCUGAUAAUGAAUAAUACAUGACUUUAUAUAGGGAAUAAAACAAAUCUUGGGUCAAUAACCUACAUAUCAUCAAGGGGGGCCAUUGUCAUAAUCCAUGGAAUAUUUUGAACCCUACCAUCCAUCAAUUAAUAAACGACCUUAGAGAUAAAUAUGAAAGCCUCGCCACUUUGAUCCAACAAUCCACCCCUCUGCCAAAUUUCUACACCGCUCGAUCAGACCUAAUCUUGGAAGAAACAUGCAAGAUCAUAAUUCCAGCACCUCCAAAGCAUCGACCGACACAACGGUUGCCUUGAAUACUCAGAAAACAACUGUCACCACUGAUCGAGGACACCAGCUGCCACCAACCGAACAAUAGUAUCGUGGUAUUGGUUGGCACAAUAAAUUCGAACAGUUAGACUAUGGUGAAAGGCGACGACACAAUGGUAGAGAGGUCUCAUCAAAAGUUAAAAGACAACACCAAUCAUAGUAUUAAAAAGUUAAAAGACAACAUCAAUCAUACUAUUAAAAACAUUACAAUUUACAAUAAGUUUGAACAAGUUUUAAAAGAAAUUACAAUGUAUUUGAAAAACAAAACAUGCGAAUGCUCUUACAAGUGAUGUGUCUCUAGGUGCCUCUUACUAGAUGAUUCAUGAAUAAGCAUGUAAAAUGGGCGGUGUGACAUCCCCAUUUUCACGGCCAAAAAAGACCGAUGUUGUUUAUGCUUUAUAAAAAUCAGAGUACUUCAUUUUAUAAAAAUGUUGCGGAAUUUGUUCCCAGAAAAACAUGGUAAAUACGUUAUUAAAACAUUUUCGAAGAAACGUAUUUAUUUCAUUUUAAAACGUUUGGGAUGUCAUCGUUAAUACAGAAACAUAAGCAUAAACAGAACUUACAAUUAUUUACACUAGUGAUCUACAUCUCUUUAAAUCUCUCAGUGUAAUGUCACUUCAUAUCAACACCUGUGAUAUAAAUAAACUGAGUGGGUCAGGUUGGGAAACCUGGUGAGUACAUAGGGUUUUCAACCCACAAUAAUAUAAUUAUUAUGUUUAAACAAUCAAACAAUCAACCCAAUUACCCAUCCCCAUUAUCUUCUUUAUUCUUAAGGAUCUACCCUAAAAAUCAGCUAUUUCUCAUUCAUUCAUUCCUAAGGAUUAUCCUAAGGAAACAACAUGAAGUCCAUUGUUGCCAAUGACACAUUGGUCAAGCGCAGCUGCUAAUAUUGUCACUUAGGCUCAGCUGCCAGAAUUAGGACAUUUUCUAUGAGGCGCUUCUGCCGGUAUUGACCUUUAAACACUACUGUCAUGGUCAUAAGGCUCCCUAUUAGGCGCAACUGCCGAUACUAUCCUUAGAGCGCAGCUGCUAGGAUGUUUACCGUAGAUCUAAAUCAUCUACGGGUUGUGGCGCAGCUGCCAGUGCUCAUCUAUAGGGUACUAGGUCCACUGCUGCCAAUGUAUACCUAUAGGGCACUAGGUCCGUACUACUAAUGUUCCUCUAUUUCAGCUUUUAUCCAUCAUCAUUCAUCUACCCAUGUUUUACCCAACAUAUUUUGUAGAUAUAAAAUACUUUAUACAGUUUACAUCAUUUAAAACAUGUAUAAAAAUCUUUCACCAGCAUAGACAACAAGUAUUCAGACAAUAUGCACACAUAACACGUAAUUUAUAUUAAAAUACUUCAUAUCUAUGUGUAAGAUGAAAGAGACCAUGCACUCACCUGAUUAGGUGGUGAUUCCGAACUCAGACAGCACUUCGUUAUCUCAAAACAAUUUUCCUCGACAAAACCUAGUAUCAAUACCACUAGGGUUUAGUUUUUAACGUUAACCACGACUAAUUAAUAGUCUAGCUAUUAUUACUAUUAUAUAAGCGUUAAAUAACACUCAAUAUAACUCAUAAUAAUAGCCCAAAUAAUUAUUUUAAGGUCCUAAUAAUGUUACUAUAAUUAAAUAAAAUCUAUAUUAAAUAUAGUAUAGGCGUAGCUCACUUACAGCGAGUUUUUAUUAAAAACCGGGCUUCGCUGGAGCAGCGUUUCCAAGCCGAAAGCUUUUCUUCUCGGAGCCGUCGGGCGCUCCGGGGCUUUCUUCUCGUGCUAGGGAGGUUCCGUAGACUUGGGAGGGGUUUAGGGAGGCUAGAGAGAAGUUAGAGAGAGA
rnacentral:lncRNA from 1 species